rfam:Salmo salar isolate Sally breed double haploid chromosome ssa09, whole genome shotgun sequence.
UAGCUCAGUUGAUAGAGCAUGGUGUUUGCAAUGCCAGGGUUGUGGGUUCGAUUCCCAC